rnacentral:tRNA from 1 species
GGCGCCGUAGCCAAGUGGUAAGGCAGAGGUUUGCAAAACCUCCAUACGUCAGUUCGACUCUGACCGGCGCCUCCA